rnacentral:rRNA from 1 species
GAUGAACGCUGGCGGCGUGCCUAAUACAUGCAAGUCGAGCGGUAAGGCUCCUGCAGAUUGUUUGAUGAAGCCAGGUCGCGAAAUUCUUUAGAAUUUCGCAUCACAACGAAGAAAGAACGAUGGCUAUCGUUCCGAAUGGGAGUGAAGUACCUGGUGUUAACCUUCUUUUUAAGAAGGCGAAAUCAAAUAAUGUGCUGGAGUACACGAGCGGCGGACGGCUGAGUAACACGUAGGAACGUACCCCAAACUGA